rnacentral:tRNA from 1 species
CAAAAAGUAGUUUAUUAAAAAUAGUAGUUUUGGGUGCUACCGAAGAGAGGAUUCUUUUUGA